rnacentral:rRNA from 1 species
GACGAACGCUGGCGGCGUGCCUAAUACAUGCAAGUAGAACGCAGUUUCGAACGGGUGAGUAACGCGUAGGUAACUGCCUCAUAGCGGGGGAUAACUAUUGGAAACGAUAGCUAAUACCGCAUACUGUGAGAUGGACCUGUGUUUGAUUAGUUAUUGGGUGAGGUAAAGCCUCACCAAGGCGACGAUACAUAGCCGGCCUGAGAGGGUGAUCGGCCACACUGGGACUGAGACACGGCCCCAACUCCUACGGGAGGCAGCAGUAGGGGAUCUUCGGCAAUGGGCGGAAGUCUGACCGAGCAACGGCGCGUGAGUGAAGAAGGUUUUCGGAUCGUAAAGCUCAGUUGUUAGAGAAGCGGUAACUAAAGAGAAAGGGACGGCUAACUCCGUGCCAGCAGCCGCGGUAAUAG